rnacentral:tRNA from 1 species
UAGGAAAUAAUAUAAUGGGAGUAUAGAGGGUUUUGAUCUCUUUAGUGUAGGUUCAAGUCCUACUUUCCUAA